CCUACGGGAGGCAGCAGUGGGGAAUAUUGGACAAUGGGCGCAAGCCUGAUCCAGCCAUGCCGCGUGUGUGAAGAAGGCCUUCGGGUUGUAAAGCACUUUUGUCCGGAAAGAAAAGCCUUGGGUUAAUACCCUGAGGUUCUGACGGUACCGGAAGAAUAAGCACCGGCUAACUUCGUGCCAGCAGCCGCGGUAAUACGAAGGGUGCAAGCGUUACUCGGAAUUACUGGGCGUAAAGCGUGCGUAGGUGGUUUGUUAAGUCUGAUGUGAAAGCCCUGGGCUCAACCUGGGAAUUGCAUUGGAUACUGGCAGGCUAGAGUGCGGUAGAGGAUGGCGGAAUUCCCGGUGUAGCAGUGAAAUGCGUAGAGAUCGGGAGGAACAUCUGUGGCGAAGGCGGCCAUCUGGACCAGCACUGACACUGAGGCACGAAAGCGUGGGGAGCAAACAGGAUUAGAUACCCUGGUAGUCCACGCCCUAAACGAUGCGAACUGGAUGUUGGGUGCAACUAGGCACUCAGUAUCGAAGCUAACGCGUUAAGUUCGCCGCCUGGGGAGUACGGUCGCAAGACUGAAACUCAAAUGAAUUGACGG
rnacentral:rRNA from 1 species